rnacentral:rRNA from 1 species
UGGGGAAUUUUGCGCAAUGGGCGAAAGCCUGACGCAGCAACGCCGCGUGGGUGAUGAAGGUCUUCGGAUUGUAAAACCCUGUCGCCAGGGACGAAGGGUGGGGCGUUAAUAGCGCUUUACUUUGACGGUACCUGGAAAGGAAGCCCCGGCUAACUCUGUGCCAGCAGCCGCGGUAAUACAGAGGGGGCAAGCGUUAUUCGGAAUUAUUGGGCGUAAAGGGCGCGUAGGCGGUUUUUAAGUCGGAUGUGCAAUCCCUGGGCUCAACCCAGGAACUGCAUCCGAGACUGGAAGGCUAGAGUGCUGGAGAGGGUGGUGGAAUUCCUCGUGUAGCGGUGAAAUGCGUAGAGAUGAGGAGGAACACCAGUGGCGAAGGCGGCCACCUGGACAGUAACUGACGCUGAGGCGCGAAAGCGUGGGUAGCAAACAGGAUUAGAUACC